UUACAGUAAAGAGGAAAAACUCAUUUAUUUUGCCAUGAAUUUCACACUGUGAAAAAAAAUCUGUCACAUGUACAAACAAUGUUGUAAAAAAUUUAAACAUGACAGAAAAAAUGAAAGCAAAUGCACAUUGAAAGUGUUUAUAAAGAAGUUUCCAUCAUUUUGGUGAAUGCCUACUGCAAGCCAGCCAGGGAGAACACACUACACGUAAGCGAGCUGAAUCCCAAUAAAGGGGGAAGAGAGAGGGGGCAAAAAGAGAAAUGAGAGAGGGAAAAUAUGACACUGAACAAUCACUUGUAAAUUGGAGGGGCACUCACUGUUGACUGUUGCCAGGGUAACUUAUGUUCUAAAAGGAACCCUCUUAUCUGAUUGGUGAGGAGAAAGGUGCAGUGUUCUGUGGGCAGGUUGGUUGGUUAGGGGGUCGACAUCAGGAGGGAGGUGGGUUGGGAGGUGGGAGGUGGGAGGAGGGUUGGGAGGUGGGAGGAGGGUUGGGAGGUGGGAGGAGGGUUGGGAGGUGGAAGUUGGGCUGUGAGGAGGGCUGGGAGGUGGAAGUUGGGCUAUGAGGAGGGCUGGGAGGUGGAAGUUGGGCUGUGAGGAGGGCUGGGAGGUGAAAGUUGGGCUGUGAGGAGGGUUGGGAGGUGGGAGGUGGGCUAGGAGGUGGGAGGAGGGUUGGGAGGUGGAAGUUGGGCUGUGAGGAGGGCUGGAAGGUGGAAGUUGGGCUGUGAGGAGGGCUGGGGGGUAGAAGUUGGGCUGUGAGGAGGGCUGUGAGGUUUGGGUGGCUCAAAUAAUCAAACAGGAAUGUGGAAUACAAGGGAUUGAGGCCAUUCACUGAAUCCACCCAGAACACAUCCUGCCUGGGAAAAUCUAUACAACUGUUAGCUUUUAUGUUGACCUUGACAAUGAUUUCAUCAUGCUAAACUGUACAUGUCAAUAUUUUGGCCACCCAGACAGACAAACAGACAAAAACAUCCAGAAAUCAACUACUGGUACAAAACUGUAGAUGCAAGUAUUUAAGACAUUCUCUUUGUUGGUCUUUGGAACUCUCCCCUGUCAUAUUCCCUCCCAUACAUCAGUGCCCAUAUGGUGAAGAGCACUGCGGUGUCUGCCUGCCCUUUACAUUUACAGGAGUCAGUUAACUACACAUCCUCUUCCUCCUCCUCAUCUUCACACUCACACUACACUAAAAUGUCAGUAUUCUGACUUGAGAUCUACAUGCUUAGCUUGUAUUUUUCAUGCAAGUCUCCCAUUGACAUUGAUAAAUGAUGUACACAGAAGUCUGAGCUACAUACGCUCGUCUCAAGUCAGAAUAUUGAAUAUUUGAGUGUGGGACUUAAAAUAAAGCAGAUAUGCCUCAUAGCAGAGUCGACAUUUAAAUGUGAGAUGUUACUCUACCCAGAGUCCACCUCUAAAACAAACACAUUCCCACCCACUGGCCACUUACACUCUAGGUAAUCUAAAGUGUCCAUCCGUAUACUGACUCCUAACUCCAGACCUCUGACCUGUUUACCUCACUGACCAUAUGGUUGGAACAGGUUGCACUUUGGGAGAAACUGAACUGUGCAAAAAAAGCAGACCAAAGGAUAAACAAUAAAAUAGAGCAUCUAUAACAAGGGUCAUGCAUGAUUUACCCUUAAAAAGAUCUACAUUCAUUUACCUGGAAAUGAAUGCAGGCAGAGAAACAAUAAAUAAAGUAAAGUCAUUUUUGUAUAAAUUAAGAUUUAUGAAACAUGAUACACUGGAGCAAGAUAAGACAAGAAUGUAUUACGUUUCCGUUUUGGUUAGGAAGUUAACAAGAUGCUCUUGGCCAGAGAAGUUCAUCAUGCCAAUCAUACUUGAGUCCCCAUAUCCAUGGUGCAUGCUCUGAAGAGUUCAGAAUAAUCUUCUAGGCAAAGUAGAAAAUGUAUCCAUCAGUGAUCCAACAAAACAAUACUGCUCAUUGGAAUGACUUCGGAACAAACAGUAAAUAGUGUGCAAGAGCAAACCCUUCAGGGCUGGAUGCAAUCCGUAAAGGAAGCUUAACAUUUUAAAGGUCAUUUCCGAUUGAGCCGACAUAUGCAGCUAUUACCGUGAAUGCAGUCUCCGCGAACAUGGAAACAUUGCCUUUCAAUUUCAAUCACGCUGUAAUCCUGAUAUUCAGCACUACAGAUUGAAUCGAGCCCUUAGUGUCCAACUGAGCUUGAAUUAGCAUUUUCUUCAGUUCUGUGUUGCAUUGUCCACUUCUCUUCUUUGAUCAUUGUUAUUUUGGGUCAGGAGAGUGUAGUGACCUACAGCAAGAAUGGCGUUGGGGGAGGCAGGGCGAAAGGGGGUGGUAACUUUACAUCGGUAGACAUGUCAGGACAUGACCCUCCUUCACCCUCUCCCCAACUCCCCUCUCAGACUCAGCUGGUGCUGGCACUUCAAGUCCUCACAACACGUAGUGACAGCUAGAGCCAGGUCUCACAGCAAACUGCCAAAGAGGAACUUCCAACACCCAUUACAACGUUUUAAACCCCAAACGCCUACUAGGUGAUGGGGACAGGAAGAGGAGGGGAGGAGGUUGUCAAUCUCUGUCUUUCUCUCCUCUUCCUUGGCGAGGGCAGAACGACUGGAACAAGAAGAGUCUAAAGUCUCAGAUACACUAGGGAGAGAACUGUUUAUGGAUCAGCUGCUCAUAAUCAAGCUGAAGAGGAGUCUCUGGUCACUAUCCUCUCUCCCCUCAUAUGUAUCCUAUGUCCAAACAGGUGCUCCUUAAUGCUAUUACAUUAAAGGCCCUGUGCAGAGAAUGUUUCUUCUUCAUUUUUCAAAUUUCAUAUCACAGAAUUAUCAGAGUGAGAAGAGCAAAGACAUAGUCCGUAGUACAAGUAUUUCAUGAUUGAACGGAAAGAAAUCCAGGCUGUGUGAGUGUGUGACUGACUGAUAUGUUGAUGGGUGUUUCAUGGAAGGCUGAGACGCACAGGCGCGGUAAGCCGAUAGUACACUGGGAUUAGGGGGUUGUUGGAUUUUACAGUACAAGCAGCAGGUUGCUGGAUCUUACAGUACAAGCAGCAGGUUGCUGGAUCUUACAGUACAAGCAGCAGGUUGCUGGAUCUUACAGUACAAGCAGCAGGUUGCUGGAUCUUACAGUACAAGCAGCAGGUUGUUGGGUUUGUUUGCAUGAAUAACGUCCAAACCUCUCUCUCAGAAACGAUAUGACAUCAUUGACAUCAUCCUGUGUACAAGGUCCUCUCAGGAGCAUUGAUGGUUCUUUACACGUCUGUAAAAUCACAGUAGCAUUAGGGUGGAUCAUGUGUUUUCACACUUAUACAAUGGUUCAGUUGUUUUCAUGAAGAAAAUUAGAAAGUCUUAUUUUUUUAUUGCACAGACAGGAAGUUAAAGAGUGUGAUUCUAUCUUCACAGCUGGAAUCCAGUGGAUGAUGCAAAACAGAGAAAUCUGAGGGAAAAGGAGAGAGAGAGAGAGAGAGAGAGAGAGAGAGAGAGAG
ensembl:lncRNA